rnacentral:miRNA from 1 species
UAUGACUGGAUGUGUAAAGCGC